AUGUGGGAACAGCUUGAUUGAGUAAUGUCCUCUGAGAUUGGCUAAGUGUACAAAGAUGACUUUGCGUUUUGUCUUAUUGUAUGUCUGUUCAGAAAUUAACUUAAUAGAGGUUUAUCUUUUCUUAAUGAUAAUUCCUGUUUAAAGUUUACUCAAUCCAAAAGGUAAGAUCUUAAGAGUUUGAGUCAGAAUGAUGCAAUCCAUCCUGCUGAUGUUGGACUUAAAGAGGAAAAUCCAGAUGAUGAUCGAAGGCUUGGUUUUUUCAGAGACAAUCUAAAU
rnacentral:lncRNA from 1 species